GAGGAUGAGUUCGCGGCCCAUUAGCUAGUUGGCGGGGUAAAGGCCCACCAAGGCAACGAUGGGUAGCCGGCCUGAGAGGGUGAUCGGCCACAUUGGGACUGAGAUACGGCCCAGACUCCUACGGGAGGCAGCAGUAGGGAAUUUUGCGCAAUGGACGAAAGUCUGACGCAGCAACACCGUGUGAGGGAUGAAGCAUUUCGGUGUGUAAACCUCUGUCGAUGGUGAAUAAUGUUUCGGGGAGUGGAAAGCCUCGGAAUUGAAGGUAGCCAUGAAGGAAGCACCGGCUAACUCUGUGCCAGCAGCCGCGGUAAUACAGGGGGUGCAAGCGUUGUUCGGAAUCACUGGGCGUAAAGGGAGCGUAGGCGGAACUACAAGACAGAGGUUAAAUCUCCGGGCUCAACCUGGAACUUGCCUUUGUGGCUGUGGUUCUUGAGUAUGGUAGAGGUUAGUGGAAUUUCCGGUGUAGCGGUGGAAUGCGUAGAGAUCGGAAAGAACACCAGAGGUGAAGGCGACUAACUGGACCAAUACUGACGCUGAGGCUCGAAAGCGUGGGGAGCAAACAGGAUUAGAUACCCUGGUAGUCCACGCUGUAAACGAUGAACACUAGAUGUCGGGAGGGGUUCCUUCCGGUGUCGUCGCUAACGCAGUAAGUGUUCCGCCUGGGGGAGUACGCUCGCAAGGGUG
rnacentral:rRNA from 1 species